rnacentral:rRNA from 1 species
ACUCCUACGGGAGGCAGCAGUGGGGAAUCUUGGACAAUGGGCGCAAGCCUGAUCCAGCCAUGCCGCGUGAGUGAUGAAGGCCUUAGGGUCGUAAAGCUCUUUCGCCAGAGAUGAUAAUGACAGUAUCUGGUAAAGAAACCCCGGCUAACUCCGUGCCAGCAGCCGCGGUAAUACGGAGGGGGUUAGCGUUGUUCGGAAUUACUGGGCGUAAAGCGCGCGUAGGCGGAUUGGAAAGUUGGGGGUGAAAUCCCGGGGCUCAACCCCGGAACUGCCUCCAAAACUCCCAGUCUUGAGUUCGAGAGAGGUGAGUGGAAUUCCGAGUGUAGAGGUGAAAUUCGUAGAUAUUCGGAGGAACACCAGUGGCGAAGGCGGCUCACUGGCUCGAUACUGACGCUGAGGUGCGAAAGUGUGGGGAGCAAACAGGAUUAGAUACCCUGGUAGCACAGAG